ACCUCACAUUUAAGGCAGAUAUCACCACCACUGUCUCAUAUACCAAAUCAAGCAAAGAAGAAAAAAGCAUGUAUGGCAACUUGCUCCAAACUCGGGAAGAGAGAUCAAUCCAAACCUUAACAAACUUCAACAUCAACACUUGCCUUAUCCACAUGCAGAAACUUGCCUAACGCUCCCCCAUUAUUCUGUUAUGAUUCUCAAUAUGGUUAAUUUAAAGAGUUCAGGAAUGGUUUUGCACUAAGGGAAAUACGCAUCAUUUCAUUUUAUCAAUUGGGUUUUCUUUCUGUCGUGCACAUACAUUGCACAUGCUCAUAUCAACUAUUAUCAGAGUUCUUGAUUUUGAGGGCAAUGGUGAAACAAAAGGGUGGUGGAGGCGGUGGAGCUCUUCCACAUGCUUCAGUUGAGCUCACUAAUGUUGAGUUUGAUCUACAAGUCCACAUGGAUGAGAUCACUGCAAAAACUGGUGCUCUCCAGGCCACUCUCAAUACAUACCAAGAGUCCUUUAACUCAUUUCGUACUGAUACGUUCUAUAAGGCACAACUCUGCAGCAGCUGCUGAUAAGCUGGAUUCCUUACUUUUGAAGUUCAGAUCUCAUCCCCCCUACUUUUGGUUCACCAAUUCUUGCAGUGAUGGGGGCUUCAGCAUCCUCAACAAGAGCCAUGACCUCUAUAGCUAGUGCUUCAUCAAGGGGUAGCAUUCCUGAACCUCUUUACAGUCUUCCACUAAACUUAUCUGAUAAGAAUGUGAUUUUCAGGCUAUGCUAGUGAUUUUACCACUGAGGUUAUGAAUGUUUAUACUGAAUUAAAUGUCACCGAAACCUUAGUAUCUAGUGUUGUUAGUGCUUUAGUGUCAAAUUCUAUUAGUUGUGGAAGGAUUGAAAUGGUGAAUCUAGUUUUAGUGGGAUGCGAAAUAAUGUGCCAACCACAAAUUCAGUAUCACCAACAUUCCAAUUUUGGAACUCAACAAUUCAA